GUCUCUGUGGCCGAGUGGUUAGGCAGCGGUCUGCAAAGCCGUGUACGCCGGUUCGAAUCCGGUCGGAGACUC
rnacentral:tRNA from 2 species